rnacentral:rRNA from 1 species
CUAAUACCGGAUAGGAUCUUCUCCUUCAUGGGAGAUGAUUGAAAGAUGGUUUCGGCUAUCACUUACAGAUGGGCCCGCGGUGCAUUAGCUAGUUGGUGAGGUAACGUCUCACCAAGGCAACGAUGCAUAGCCGACCUGAGAGGGUGAUCGGCCUCACUGGGACUGAGACACGGCCCAGACUCCUACGGGAGGCAGCAGUAGGGAAUCUUCCGCAAUGGACGAAUGUCUGACGGAGCCACCCCGCGUGAGUGAUGAAGGCUUUCGGGUCGUAACCCUCUGUUGUUAGGGAAGAACAAGUACGAGAGUAACUGCUCGUACCUUGACGGUACCUAACCAGAAAGCCACGGCUAACUACGUGCCAGCAGCCGCGGUAAUACGUACGUGGCAAGCGUUAUCCGGAAUUAUUGGGCAUAAAGCGCGCGCAGGCGGUUUCUUAAGUCUGAUGUGAAAGCCCACGGCUCAACCGUGGAGGGUCAUUGGAAACUGGGGAACUUGAGUGCAGAAGAGAAAAGCGGAAUUCCACGUGUAGCGGUGAAAUGCGUAGAGAUGUGGAGGAACACCAGUGGCGAAGGCGGCUUUUUGGUCUGUAACUGACGCUGAGGCGCGA